rnacentral:lncRNA from 1 species
GUCAUUCUUACCCACAGAAGGACUUUAUAGCAAGAAUAGAAGCAAGCUGAGGUGUAUGCCAGAUGACAUGACAGAGCCACAUGGACCUUACCAUCUUUUUUCUUUAAAUUAUCAAGAGGAGACCACAAGAUGAGGAAUACUUCACUGCAGGUGGUGAUAUGAAACUGACAAGUAGUUUAUAAACUAGCCCUACCCUAUUGCUUGGAGAAGCUUUAUAACUGAUUGUUUUAAUACCAAAGUGACACCAAAGGGGGUCAAGUAAAUAAAUAUGCAAGCCUCACCAGUUCAAAAUAAUAAAAUUCCAAUGUGUGCAAGCCUGCUUGUUGAACAUAUGUUUGAGGCACGGCUAAGCCAUCUGGCUCAGUGUCAAGCAUUUACACCAACUGUAGUCUUACAGUACCUGACAGCAGAAAAGCUUUAUUCCCCUGGUGUUUGGGCACAAAUGGAGAAAUAUUAUUGAAAUGAUUAUCUGCAUCAAGACUCAGAUUUGCUUUGACAUUUAGCUGGCUCUGUUUAAUCCAAAGGGUUGUCUGAAUGAAUAAAGAGAAGGGUUCCUCCAGAAGAUGCUGCGAGCAGCCAGGGAAAGCCAAAUGAUUAAUGAGACUGAAAGGCAGGGUGGACCUGCCCACCUCCACCCAGACCUCAGUGCCAAGAACUGAAUAUGAAAUUAGUCUAAAGCUUUCCGUGGCUUGUCAGGAAGAUUCUUCUGCCCUCACAUGGGCUCUCAUUUUGGACUCUGGAACAAAAGAAAUGGAUACUUUACCCAAUAUGGAGGAAAUAGAGAGGCUGGGAGAGUGCUUCGUGUUAUAAUCAGAACAUUUCACAUUCAAACACUUUUUGCUUUUAACAGCUCUACCAGAGGCAUUUAGAUAUUAUGUUAGGAGUAGAGUCUCUUUUCGGAAUUAGAAAGCUGCGGCUUGUCGCCUGGUUUCUGUUUUGGCAGCUGGUUUCUAUAUGCUAUGGUCCUUAUAUCAAGAUAAUUUCUUUUGGCUUAGAAUGCUAUGUUCCUCUGGUUAUUCUGUGUUGCCAUUCAUUUUAAGAUGCUAUAUUAAGCUGAGUUACUUGAAAAACGAGGUACAGUGCUAGUUUUAGCAUUCACCUGUGCUAGCAAAAUUCAGGCAUUUAGCCAAAAAAGAGACAUCUUUCAUAGUGCAUCUUAAUUUGGAAAUCUUUAUCAAAGAGUUAUAGGUUGUCACUUAUUUUCUUCAGGUAUAUUGUACCUUUUGGAGGGAGAAUUUUAGUAAUGGUUGUUGAUUUAGAUUUGAAAUUACUUUGGUGAUUUGGUUUUAAUAAGAAUGUUAGGCAUGAUUUCUUUCUCACUCUUACUUUUAAUUAACUUUUUAUAGAGAUAUGAAUGAAUUCUAAUGAACACAAUUGGCAAGCUAAUUGAUUUGUUUCAGAGCACAGUGAGCGAUCAGUAUGCUGGCAACAUUGAUAUACUAUUCAAGGAUGUCAAACAGUUUUUGGGUUAAUUUUCUGGCAGAGGUUAGUUGGGGAAACUGCUUAAAAUAUGUACUGUUUUUGAUUUUCAACUAAGUGCCUGGUUUUUUAAAUAUUCAGUGAAUUAAAAGAUAUCUAUUCCUUUGAAUUUAUAGUGUCUUUAAAUUAUCA